rnacentral:lncRNA from 1 species
ACUCUUGGAGAGAAGUUGUUCCGACUCACAAUUCCAGGUCUAUCUCAGUGGGCACCACGGCUUUGCAAAGAGAGCAUCGCGUCCAUAUGAGCAAAGACUUCUACCGUGCAGGAAUCCAACUGUCCCGAUCUCUCUCUUCCUCUCUUUCCUUGCACGGUGGUCGGGGGGCCGCCCCCAGUGAAGGCGGUCGUCCCUCUGACCUAUCUGCACUUGCUGGGGGAGGUUUUCUCUCAAACUUUCACCACGGUGCUGAUCCUUAGGGGGGGGUGCUAGGGAGAAUUUUCUGCUCAGGUAACAGGAAGUGUCUAGGAGACUAUUCAACCUGCAAAAAUGUUGACGAUCAGGAGAG